AUUGGGCAAUGGGCGAAAGCCUGACCCAGCAACGCCGCGUGAAGGAUGACGGUCUUCGGAUAGUANACUUCUUUAAUUGGGGAAGANAAAAAUGACCUACCCAAAGAAUAAGUAACGGCUAACUACGUGCCAGCAGCCGCGGUAAUACGUAGGUGACAAGCGUUAUCCGGAUUUACUGGGCGUAAAGGGCGUGUAGGCGGUCUUGCAAGUCAGAAGUGAAAUUCCUGAGCUCAACUCGGGCGCUGCUUCUGAAACUGCAGGACUUGAGUGCUGGAGGGGAUAGCGGAAUUCCUAGUGGAGCGGUAAAAUGCGCAGAUAUCAGGAAGAACACCGGUGGCGAAGGCGGCUAUCUGGACAGUAACUGACGCUGAGGCGCGAAAGCGUGGGGAGCAAACAGG
rnacentral:rRNA from 1 species